rnacentral:rRNA from 1 species
GAAGGCGGCCACAGCGGCAGGGAAAGACCCGUACCCAUUCCGAACACGGAAGUGAAGCCUGCCAGCGUAUCACCGAGUACUGGAGUGGGAGACCCUCUGGGAGAGGUGGUUCGCCGCCUGCCC